UCCCUGGUGGACCAGUGGCUAAGACUCCACACUCCCAAUGCAGGGAAUCCAGGUUCAAUUCCUGGUCAGGGAA
rnacentral:tRNA from 1 species